CUGGAGGGGUGCGAGAAUGGGCAUUGCAUUGUAAAAUCGGAUGAAGGGUUUCGAGUUCUGGAGUUGGGCCACAACAUAUCAUUAGGGAAAGGAGUUGAAUC